UACGAAGGGGGCUAGCGUUGCUCGGAAUCACUGGGCGUAAAGCGCACGUAGGCGGAUUCUUAAGUCGGGGGUGAAAUCCUGGAGCUCAACUCCAGAACUGCCUUCGAUACUGGGAAUCUUGAGUCCGGAAGAGGUGAGUGGAACUGCGAGUGUAGAGGUGAAAUUCGUAGAUAUUCGCAAGAACACCAGUGGCGAAGGCGGCUCACUGGCCCGAUACUGACGCUGAGGCACGAAAGCGUGGGGAGCAAACAGG
rnacentral:rRNA from 1 species